UACGUAGGGGGCUAGCGUUGUCCGGAUUUAUUGGGCGUAAAGAGCGUGUAGGCGGCCAGGUAGGUCUGCUGUGAAAACCCGUGGCUCAACCACGGGCCUGCAUCCGAUACUGGCGGGCUCGAGGCAGGCAGGGGAGAUCGGAAUUCCUGGUGUAGCGGUGAAAUGCGCAGAUAUCAGGAGGAACACCGGUGGCGAAGGCGGAUCUCUGGGCCUGUCCUGACGCUCAGGCGCGAAAGCUAGGGGAGCAAACAGG
rnacentral:rRNA from 1 species